AACCAUUGCAGGAUACAGGAGAAACGAAAGAUUAAUGAGAAACAGACAAUACCUUCAGGCGCCUUAAGUACAGGCUCCAGCUGAGGCUCCAGCUGAGGUUGCAGCUCCAGUUAACGGAGUUGAAGAUGAGUUUUCUUUUUUUAUUGUAUCCAAAGAGUCGUACGUAUAUUAAUUGAUAAAUAUAUAAUACUGUAAAUUUAAAAUUUUCAGAUGAACCAGCACCCCAUAGGAUUCUACAAGAUGAGAAUCGAUGACGACAGCGUAGGCGCCGAAGAAGACGCGUGGCUGUAAACGGUAGACCGCUUGCUCAAGAGCCACAAGAAGAAAACGUACGAAACGCGGUACACGAUGCGUCUGUUGGUGCACAGGACGGCGUACAAAACGAGCCAAAUGAAGAUGCUGCUGAACAAAACUUCAACGCUAACCUGUUUGCGCCUGCUGGAGAACCCGUCGAGCCCCAUGUUGAAGAAGUAGAAGAAGAAGAGGUAGAUCUCUCACCGGAAGGUCUAUGAUUACGCAGAUUAUAAGAUAAGUGUCUAACAGAGAAAGGUCGAAGAUCGACGGACAAAUCAUGAAUUUACGCAAAAGUUUAAACAUGAGCAGACCGUCAUGAUAACAAUGUACCGAAUGCACAGAAGGAAUACCCAACGAAGACGCUAUGAGUGAAUAGUCAUGAUCGAUAGGCGCCAUGGGCUUAUCGAACUUGUAAGCCAGGUAAGGAAUAAUUUAUGCUGAACAGAUUCAAGAUAUAUCAUAUUUAAACAACUUGAACCGUUAGAGCACAUUCAUAACAUAUAAUAUAAAAAAAUUUAUCUUUA